rnacentral:rRNA from 1 species
AUUGAACGCUGGCGGCAGGCCUAACACAUGCAAGUCGAGCGGAUGAAGGGAGCUUGCUCCUGGAUUCAGCGGCGGACGGGUGAGUAAUGCCUAGGAAUCUGCCUGGUAGUGGGGGAUAACGUCCGGAAACGGGCGCUAAUACCGCAUACGUCCUGCGGGAGCAAGUGGGGGAUCUUCGGACCUCACGCUAUCAGAUGAGCCUAGGUCGGAUUAGCUAGUUGGUGGGGUAAAGGGCUACCAAGGCGACGAUCCGUAACUGGUCUGAGAGGAUGAUCAGUCACACUGGAACUGAGACACGGUCCAGACUCCUACGGGAGGCAGCAGUGGGGAAUGUUGGACAAUGGGCGAAAGCCUGAUCCAGCCAUGCCGCGUGUGUGAAGAAGGUCUUCGGAUUGUAAAGCACUUUAAGUUGGGAGGAAGGGCAGUAAGUUAAUACCUUGCUGUUUUGACGUUACCAGCAGAAUAAGCACCGGCUAACUUCGUG